ACAGACGAUAUUUCUGCAUAAUCAAGAAAAAAUUUCUUACAAAUUAUCCUGCAAAAAUGGAGAUUGAAGAAAGAAUAGCUUGUGAUACUAAAGAAAAUUCAAAUGGUUGUGGAAUAACCAAAUCUAAGAUGCACUAGUCUGAGGGAUACAUAAGGUAACGCGUAUUUUUUUUGUAUGUUCAUGGUUUUAUUCCCCCCCGCCCCUUUUCAUAUUCCUCUCAAAUAAUGUAAUUUCUGAUAAGUGCGAAAGUUAGCUGUUUUAACUUUUACACGAUAUGAAUGGGGGCAUGGGGUUUGUCGGUUUUUAAGCAGUCAAUGAUUCAAUAGUGUUCGACUUCUGGAUUAUUAUGGACUAAUAUGGAUGCUGCAUCCUCCUUUAUUGGUAUGGAUUGCCAUCUUCUAUCCCUCCCCUGACCUUAUUAUAGUUCUUGUGAGCGAAAUAUACUGAUGACGACGACGACGACGAUGAUGAAAGCUCAUUAGACGAUACAAUAGACGAUAAACUCGGUGCUAAGACAAAGGUAAGGGCAUUGUGCAUCGAAUGACUACUUACCAUGCCUAGGGUGGUAGCCUUUUUAAAGGAAUUGGGGUAAAGUUGAUGUUGAAGUAUGUGUAAAUGAUGCAUGGACUUCAGCAGAAAAAAGCAAGCAGUGAUUUAGAGUUAUACUGACCUGCAAAUGGCUUGCAACAUUCUCUCUUGUGAGCCGUGGCACAUUCAUCAGGUCCAAUAUCUUUUUCGGACGAAUCUCUGCAAAACGGACAGCUCGAGGAUUAGACGACAGACAGCAUCUCAAGAAUCGAAAAUGAACAGAACACAGUCGAUAUCUCUCACUUCGUGCAUUCGUUUCCUCACCACAUGCUGCCAUAUAUUCUUGAGUUCUUUCAUACGUAUCGGUUUGAGUAGAUAGUCACAAGCCCCAUGUUGAACACCUUUCAUCACUCGGCUCGUUUCUCCAUCCACCGACAUCACUGCACAAGUUCGCAGGAAGAUCCAUUUCUAGUCCAACAUGCUCAAGAAGCUUAAAUCCAUCCAUGUCCGGCAUGUUGACAUCGCUUAUGACAAUGUCGUAACCAUCCUUUCUGUCACGAAGCAACUUCAAUGCUUCGCUAGCCAGUCCACA